rfam:Homo sapiens chromosome 5, GRCh38 reference primary assembly.
GCUGGGCAUGGUGGCUCAUGCCUGUAAUCCCAACACCUUGGGAGGCCGAGAUGGGUGGAUCACUUGAAGUCAGGAGUUCAAGACCAGCCUGACCAACAUAGUGAAAACCCAUCUCUA